rnacentral:rRNA from 1 species
CUUUACUAUAGCUUUGCAAUGAUAUUAAAGAUUAAAUGUGUAGAAUAGGUGGUAGACUAGGAUACUGUAACGCUAGUUACAGUGGAGUCGUCGUUGAAAUACCACUCUUUUGAUUUUUGAUAUCUAACCAAGGUCUGUUACAGUAGAUCUGGGACAUUGCAUGGUGGGUAGUUUGACUGGGGCGGUCGCCUCCUAAAGAGUAACGGAGGCGUUCAAAGGUUGGCUCAGGUGGGAUAAAGCCACUGCAAGAGUGUAAUAGCAUAAGCCAGCUUGACUGCAAGACUGACAAGUCGCGCAGGGACGAAAGUCGGAUAUAGUGAUCUGGUGCUUCUGCGAGGAAGGGGCAUCACUCAACGGAUAAAAGGUA